rnacentral:rRNA from 1 species
UACAGAGGGUGCAAGCGUUAAUCGGAAUUACUGGGCGUAAAGCGCGCGUAGGCGGCUAAUUAAGUCGGGUGUGGAAGCCCCGGGCUCAACCUGGGAAUUGCAUCCGAUACUGAUUGGCUAGAGUACAGAAGGGGCAAUCGGAAUUCUUGGUGUAGCGGUGAAAUGCGUAGAUAUCAAGAGGAACACCUGAGGUGAAGACGGGUUGCUGGGCUGAUACUGACGCUGAGGCGCGAAAGCUAGGGUAGCAAACGGG